rnacentral:rRNA from 1 species
UACGAGGGGAGCAAGCGUUGUUCGGAAUUACUGGGCGUAAAGGGCCAGUAGGCGGCCAACUAAGUCACACGUGAAAUCCCCAGGCUUAACCUGGGAACUGCGUGUGAUACUGGAUGGCUUGAAUUCGGGAGAGGGAUGCAGAAUUCCAGGUGUAGCGGUGAAAUGCGUAGAUAUCUGGAGGAAUACCGGUGGCGAAGGCGGCAUCCUGGACCGACAUUGACGCUGAACGGCGAAAGCUAGGGGAGCAAACGGG